UACGAAGGGUGCAAGCGUUACUCGGAAUUACUGGGCGUAAAGCGUGCGUAGGUGGUUUGUUAAGUCUGAUGUGAAAGCCCUGGGCUCAACCUGGGAAUUGCAUUGGUGACUGGCAGGCUUUGAGUGUGGCAGAGGGAGGUAGAAUUCCACGUGUAGCAGUGAAAUGCGUAGAGAUGUGGAGGAAUACCGAUGGCGAAGGCAGCCUCCUGGGCCAACACUGACGCUCAUGCACGAAAGCGUGGGGAGCAAACAGG
rnacentral:rRNA from 1 species